GGAGGCAGGUGGUAAACAGGAAAUGGUUAAGUAGGAGCAGGUGGAGUGGGUGCGGUGCUGGAACAGGCAGGAAAUAGCUGAGCAGCUGAAUGGACUCACAAGAAUGCUUUGCCAACUCCCCAAGGCUGGGGCAAAGGCGCCGGCUGCCCCCUCCUCCCAGCCCUGCACAGCGAGGUGUCUGGCCUGGCAGCGCCUGGCUGGCCCCACUGUCCUCCUCGGUUCUGCCUGGGGCUGAAAGGAGCAGGCCACGGGGCUAGGAGGAGAAUGGUGGUUCCUACAGGGGCGUGAGUGACCGGCUUUGAGGGUGCAGGUUAUGAGGGGCUACAGGAGGUGGACAAGAUUGCCAAGGACCUGGAGUGCUUUUCCUCUUCUGGUUCUUUGUUCCCCAGAGGGCCCUUUGGAUUGACUGGGACCCCCCAGGAGCGGUCGGUCCCACCCUCGGUCGAGCAUGCUGCCAGCUGGCUACUGGAUGUGGGCAGGAGCUGAACACCCCAGGCUUUUUUCAGCCUCCCAUUUGUUCCUUGUAAUACAGUACAACCCAAAGAAGAGGUACUUUCCCACUUCAUGGACAAGAAGCUGAGGCCCAGAGAAGGGAGAUACGCUGUCCUCGUGGUAGUGAUGUAGUGGGUUCCCUUCUCUGCACUCAAGCCUGGGCAGCUUGGCCUGGAGUCUGCACUCUGACCCGGUACUGUGCUACCUGGGUGAGGAGACUUUGGAGGAGGCCAGAGGGGACCGUGUGGACAAAGGCUGGGAGGCUUGGGACGGUCAGGUAAGGUUGAGAACUCCGAGCACCUAGCUAUUCCUAGAGGGCAGGGGUGACAGGAGAGGAGCUCUGAGGUUUGCCUCACAAGGCAGAGCCUUUGACCUUUGUCCAGCCUCUGCUCCAUGGCCUGAAAAACCACAGGAAAGAGAGAGUGGGCCUUACAAACAAGGCAAAGAAGUAGAUUUACACUGCCUGACUUCCAGAAUUGCUAGACAGCUAGAAUGAUCAGGACAGUGGAAAUACUUAAAGGAUAAAUGUUUAUUUUUUUACACCCCGCCCCAACCCGGUACCAGGGAUUGAACUCAGGACCUUGCACUUGCUAGUCAACUGAGUAAGAAUAAUCCAAUUUUUAAAAUAGGUAAUAUAUUUGAAAAUAUCCUUCCCCAAGGAAGAUAUAUGAAUGGCAAGUAAACACAUGAAAAGAUGUUUAAUCCCUAAAUUAAAAGCAUAGAAACUACAACAUACCUUUUGGAGUGGCUAGGAUAAAAACAAAGAUCUAAUUAUCUUAAGUCCCAGGGAAGGUAUGGAGCAACUGGAACUCACAUAUAUUGCUGGUGUGGAUCCAAAGCGGUACAUCCACUUUGGAAAAUGGUUUGGCAGUUUAGUAUAAAGUUAAAUAUAUUUAUUUAUCAUGUGAUUCAGCAGUGCCAUUUUUAGAUAUUUACCAAGGGAAAUGAAAAGUUAGGUCCACACAAACAUUUUUUACAAAUAUUUAUAAUGGCUUUAAUCAUAAUUAUAAAAAUCUG
rnacentral:lncRNA from 1 species